UUCUCAGUCAUGUCUUGACACACCCUGUUCUUAUUGCAUAUCGGAGAACCUUCUCAUUGCCUGUUCAGCUGUGUCGAUUCCCUGUUUACUGAGCUGUAAGGUCUAAGAUUGCAGCACCAGGUCUUCCUGAUUAUCACUGUGCCCUCAGCACCUGGCAGAUGAUACGCAGAGUAAGCAGGUCAGACGCUGUGGAAAGGCUGACCAACGCCAGGAACAGCACGCUGGACUCUCGAGGCUGAAUGGAGCCAGCCAUGGAGGUAUGAGAGGUGGUGGAGCUGCAGGCUGCAGAAUGGGCAGGUUAUGGGUGCCGUCACGUCGCUGAAUCUUGGAUUGACACGUUGCAUUUAUCACACGGCAUUCUUCUGAAAGCCUCAUGUGGGAGACUCGGUUCUCACGGCAACUCAUUACUAUAUCCGGACGGAGACUGAGGCGUAUGGAACCGAAGCGAUGUAUCCACGGCAAGGAGGCCACUGCGCAGGCGUGCAGCGUCAGGAUUUGAUUGCCCAGCCACUAAGUGAGAUCAUCGCUGCAUCGCAGAGCUCUGAGGGCUGUGGACCUAAGCAAGAGUCCGCCUCCAAGCUCUGGCUCCAGGGUGUGGAUUCCCACGUGCUAUGGUGUGUGUGCGCCUUCAGCAAUCGGGUCCCGCCAUGGACUUUUGUCAGGCAACUAAGAGCAAUUGCAACAGCCUAUGCCAUUUUUAAAAGCAGCUGGGCCUCCCUGAACAAUGGCUCAUUGUGUGGUGGCCCUUAGCAUCGUUUGUAUAGUCUUCCACCGUGUGCACAGUGAGUAUUUCCAGACGUCAGGUUCUUGGAGGUCAGAGGUAAGGUCACUUCCUACUUCCACCCUCUCUCUCUGCUCUGGCCCAAGCCCCAACGCUUGCUACUCUGCCCUCCACCUGCAGUGUGCCUGCUCGUCUGCCAACGACUCCUAGACCUACCUCCCGCUCCAGCCCUUGUCUGUCACCCAAGCUCUACGCCACGAUCUCCAGCUGUCUGUGGGAGAGUUCCAGAGCCCUGUCUUGUCAUCACCUCAGAUAUGAUGCAUCCAAAAUAGGAUGAUUUACAUUCAGCGCCAAGCUGAUCCUACAGUCUUCUUCCUUGCCUUUGUCAAAUACAUUGCAGUUUCCUCACUCAUAAAAUCUCUUUUUUAAACAAGAA